UUAAGUGUUCCUUUUAUUUUUUGAGCAGUGUAUUUCAACUCCAUGUUGUAAUGCAACAAAAUAGAGAAAAUGCCAAGGGGGAUGAAUACUUUUGCAAGAAUCUGUACGAACCGAAGAGGACACAGCAAUUUACUUGGUUAGAGAUAUUCACCUCUUCACCAUUACUGAACAGUAAGUGUAGAUCAGUGGUGUGACAGUGUACUAUUGACAGAGCUGGAGAAUGAGCUAGAGUCUGAGCAGAAGAAGAGCCAAGAGUUCCAGAAGGGUGUCUGCAAGUAUGAGAGGAAGAUCAAAUAACUCACCUACCAGGUACUGAAACACAGCACCUUCAUUAGCCAUGGGGAAAAUGUAGGAAGAGAUCUGUCAUGCAGUUCCCCAAUGUUAUGAUUUUGCACUUCAUUAGGUUCAAGUGAUCAUCUUAAUGAUGGAUCAUAUUGCUGAUUAUAUUAUUUUUCUAUGAUGUAGUGAUGAUGUAAUGGUGUAGUGCUUCAUGCUGCCCCCUGCUGUUUGUUUGUCUCUGCAGACAGAGGACAGGAAGAACCUGGCUAGUCUGCAGCAGCUCAUAGACAAGCUGCAAGCCAAGGUGAAGAGCUACAAGAGGCAGGCUGAGGAAGCGGAGGAACAAGCUAACUUCAACCUGACCAAGUUCAGUAAGAUCCAGCAUGAGCUGGACGACGCAGAAGAGGGCUGAAAUGGCCGAGACGACGGUCAAUGAACUUAGGUCAAUAAACUCAGAGUUCGCACUCGGGACCAAGGGCCCAAGUUUAGAGUAAUCCAGAGGAUAAUUCCCCAACCAAAGAUAUCACAGCCAACCAGCUGCAACAGUUGUGGUGUGACUGCAAUAUAGACCAAUAAAGACUUCUG